GGAUCCAGACUUUGAUUCUGGCUCAGGAUGAACGCUAGCUACAGGCCUAACACAUGCAAGUCGAGGGGAAACGGCAGCUUAGCUUGCUAAGCUGGACGUCGACCGGCGCACGGGUGAGUAACGCGUAUCCAACCUGCCCCACGGUGAGGGAUAACCCGCGGAAACGCGGCCUAAUACCUCAUGGUCUCCGAGUUUGCCAUCAACCUUGGAGUAAAGAUUCAUUGCCGUGGGAUGGGGAUGCGUCUGAUUAGCUUGUUGGCGGGGCAACGGCCCACCAAGGCAACGAUCAGUAGGGGUUCUGAGAGGAAAGCCCCCCACAUUGGAGCUGAGACACGGUCCAAACUCCUACGGGAGGCAGCAGUGAGGAAUAUUGGUCAAUGGGCGAGAGCCUGAACCAGCCAAGUAGCGUGCAGGAUGACGGCCCUAUGGGUUGUAAACUGCUUUUAUGCGGGGAUAAAGCGGGCGACGUGUCGCCCUUUGCAGGUACCGCAUGAAUAAGGACCGGCUAAUUCCGUGCCAGCAGCCGCGGUAAUACGGAAGGUCCGGGCGUUAUCCGGAUUUAUUGGGUUUAAAGGGAGCGCAGGCCGGGUAUUAAGCGUGUUGUGAAAUGUAGGCGCCCAACGUCUGCACCGCAGCGCGAACUGGUGCCCUUGAGUACGCACGACGUUGGCGGAAUUCGCGUGUAGCGGUGAAAUGCUUAGAUAUGGCGAAGAACUCCGAUUGCGAAGGCAGCUGACGGGAGCGCUACUGACGCUCAUGCUCGAAAGCGCGGGUAUCGAACAGGAUUAGAUACCCUGGUAGUCCGCGCGGUGAACGAUGGAUGCCCGCUAUUUGCGCAUUAGCGCAAGUGGCCAAGUGAAAACGUUAAGCAUCCCACCUGGGGAGUACGCCGGCAACGGUGCAACUCAAAGGAAUUGACGG
rnacentral:rRNA from 1 species